UACGAAGGGGGCUAGCGUUGUUCGGAAUCACUGGGCGUAAAGGGCGCGUAGGCGGCUUUAUAAGUCGGGGGUGAAAGCCUGUGGCUCAACCACAGAAUUGCCUUCGAUACUGUAGAGCUUGAGACCGGAAGAGGUAAGUGGAACUGCGAGUGUAGAGGUGAAAUUCGUAGAUAUUCGCAAGAACACCGGUGGCGAAGGCGGCCCCCUGGACCGGUACUGACGCUGAGGCGCGAAAGCGUGGGUAGCAAACGGG
rnacentral:rRNA from 1 species